UACGGGGGGUGCGAGCGUUGUCCGGAAUCACUGGGCGUAAAGGGCGCGUAGGUGGCCUGAUAAGGGUGUGGUGAAAGUCCGGGGCUCAACCCCGGAUCGGCCGUGCCGACUGUUAGGCUAGAGUACUGUAGGGGCAGGCGGAAUUCCGGGUGUAGCGGUGGAAUGCGUAGAUAUCGGGAGGAACACCAGUGGCGAAGGCGGCUACCUGGCCCACUCUUGACGCUGAGGCGCGAAAGCUAGGGGAGCAAACGGG
rnacentral:rRNA from 1 species